AUUGAACGCUGGCGGCAGGCUUAACACAUGCAAGUCGAGCGAGCGGCGGACGGGUGAGUAAUGUCUGGGAAACUGCCUGAUGGAGGGGGAUAACUAGUGGAAACGGUAGCUAAUACCGCAUACCAUCAGAUGUGCCCAGAUGGGAUUAGCUAGUAGGUGGGGUAAUGGAUCACCUGGGCGAGGAUCCCUAGCUGGUCUGAGAGGAAGAACAGCCCCACGGGAACGGAGCCACGGUCCUGACUCCUACGGGAGGCGGCAGUGGGGAAUAUUGCACAAUGGGCGCAGGCUUGAUGCAGCCAUGCGGCGUGUGUGAAGAGGGCCUUCGGGUUGUAAAGCACUUUCAGCGAGGAGGCGUUACUCGCAGAAGAAGCACCGGCUAACUCCGUGCCAGCAGCCGCGGUAAUAC
rnacentral:rRNA from 1 species